AACGUUUUGAUCAUACUGGAAUCGGUAAUUCCUUCAAUUUGAUUUCGUACAAAGAAAUCAAAUCAAUUCAAUAAUUUAUUCGUUGUUCCAAAUUUCCUGCCAAUUUGUUCAAUCUGCUCAAUUCCUAAGGCAUUGCACGUUUUAGUACUUUGGAACAAUGUCAUUUGAGGACGAGGAGGCGCUUGAGCACACGCUUUUGGUUGUUCGCGAAGUGUCUGUGUUUAAAAUCCCUCCUCGGAGCACCAGCGGCGGUUAUAAAUGUGGUGAGUGGCUACAAUCUGAUAAGAUCUGGUCAGGGCGUUUGCGUGUGGUUUCGUGUAAAGAACGGUGUGAGAUCCGGCUUGAGGAUCCCAACUCGGGUGAGCUCUUUGCUGCCUGCUUUGUCCUUCCUGGGCAGAGGGAGAACUCCGUUGAAACCGUUCUCGAUUCGUCUCGUUACUUUGUGCUGAAGAUAGAGGAUGGGAGCGGCAAGCACGCCUUUAUCGGGUUGGGAUUUAAUGAGAGGAAUGAGGCAUUUGAUUUCAACGUCGCGUUGUCUGAUCAUGAGAAGUAUGUAAAGCGAGAGAAUGAGAAGGAGUCGGGGGAAUCAAGCGAUGACAAUCAUAUCGAUAUUCAUCCUGCAGUGAAUCACAGAUUGAAGGAAGGUGAGACUAUCCGGAUAAAUGUAAAAAACAAACCAACUAGCGGAACUGGCAUGCUUUCAGCUGCUGGGUUGUCUGGUGGUGUUUCUGGCACUGAGAAACCUAAAGCUCUGGGCCUUGCUCCACCACCUAGCGGGGCUGGAAAAAUCAGAUCUCCUCUUCCACCACCACCCAAUGACCCUGUUGCUGCUCGGAUGGCUGCUGGCAAUCAUGGUGUUGGACUCGAGGGUUCUAUGGAAAACGUAAGGCGUGUAAAUGAUCCUUUCUCAGAUUUCUCUCAACUUGAGAAAACCCUUCCUUCAACUACUGGAUCAGGAUCAACAAAGAGCACUGCAGCAGGAUGGGCAGCAUUUUAAAUUUGCAUGAGCAUUUGUUGGUUUCGAGUGAUGUUUGUUCUCUGUAACAGAUUAAAAAAACAAAAAAAUAGAAGACAGGCAAUUAUGUACUUACUGAUAUAUUUAAAAAAAGAAUGUUUAAUGGAAUGCCUAUUAUUUUGUCUGCUCUAAUUUGCAUUUAGAAGCCUUUAACUUAAUAUAUUAAAUAAUUGCUGAGAUUAUCAUA